UACGUAGGGACCAAGCGUUGUCCGGAAUCAUUGGGCGUAAAGAGCGUGUAGGCGGCUUGUUAAGUCUUGUGUGAAAUCUCGGGGCUCAACCCCGAGCGGUCGUGAGAAACUGGCAGGCUAGAGUGCGGGAGAGGAGAGUGGAAUUCCUGGUGUAGCGGUGAAAUGCGUAGAUAUCAGGAAGAACACCCGUGGCGAAGGCGGCUCUCUGGGACGGUACUGACGCUGAGACGCGAAAGCGUGGGGAGCGAACAGG
rnacentral:rRNA from 1 species